rnacentral:misc_RNA from 1 species
UACGGGAGGUGCGAGCGUGAAUCGGAACAACUGUGCGUAAAGCGCGCGUAGGUGGUUGAGUCAGUCAGAUGUGAAAGCCCCGGGCUUAACCUGGGAACUGCACCUGAUACUGCUUAACUAGAGUACGGCAGAGGGCAGUGGAAUUUCCUGUGUAGCGGUGAAAUGCGUAGAUAUAGGAAGGAGCACCAGUGGCGAAGGCGACUGCCUGGACUGAUACUGACACUGAGGCGCGAAAGCGUGGGUAGCAAACAGG